GAUGAACGCUAGCGGCAGGCUUAACACAUGCAAGUCGAGGGGCAGCAUAAUGCAUAGCAAUAUGUAUGAUGGCGACCGGCGGACGGGUGCGUAACGCGUAUGCAACCUUCCCGUAACAGGGGGAUAAUCCGAAGAAAUUUGGUCUAAUACCCCAUAAUAUUAAUAACGGCAUCGUUAUUAGUUGAAAUUUCCGGAGGUUACGGAUGGGCACGCGUAGCAUUAGAUAGUUGGUGAGGUAACGGCUCACCAAGUCGACGAUGCUUAGGGGGACUGAGAGGUUAACCCCCCACACUGGUACUGAGACACGGACCAGACUCCCACGGGAGGCAGCAGUGGGGAAUUUUGCGCAAUGGGCGAAAGCCUGACGCAGCAACGCCGCGUGAGGGGCGAAGGCCUUCGGGUUGUAAACCUCUUUUAAUCGGGAAGAACCCCUCCCUUGCAAAUAGUGGGGGAGGCUGACGGUACCGAUAGAAUAAGCCACGGCUAACUUUGUGCCAGCCGCCGCCGUAAGAC
rnacentral:rRNA from 1 species